UUUUCCUCCUCCAGAGACUUCGGUGAAGGAUGAUGCAAACUGUGUUUCUUCAGCAUGUGAGCACCAUCAGCCAUGAGUGUGGCAGCUCCAGAAUGUCUAUACCAGAGUGGCUGAGAGUCAGCAACUUGGCUGGAAGCUACACUUGAAUAGCAAACAAACCACUUUUACUUAGUUUCCAUGUCUAUUUGGUACCUUGGAGUACAGUGAUGAGUUUUACUAGAUGUGGACUUUCCAGGAAUAUAGCCAAGGUCGUCACCAUGAAAGUAUGAAACUUUAGUCAUUUACCCAAGGGGAUUCAUGGACAUAUAUUAAGAAUUUUCUUUAAUGGACUGUGUUUAUAGAACACCUGGUCAGGACGGAAAUGAGGCCAGGGAACUAAAGGGGUAGAAGUCUGAAGAGGAAUGGUUUUGCAUGGGAAAACUGUGCCAGGUCUAAAACUGGGCUGAACACUAUUUGUCCCCAACUCUCUGGCCCGGUCCUCAUAGUUCUUUCUGUGAUCCCUGCGUGGUGAAUACUCCUUUUCUGCUUUCACUGGCUUUGGCCCCUCAUGGAUAGAAUUAGAUGUUCUGCAUGGCAAACUGUGGGAAGAGAGGCCUCCAGUGUUUAGAGUGAUAUUAUCAUGUGUACCACUACUAUUAUACAUACUAAAGGUAUUCAGACAGGUGGCUUGUCUCUGGGCUUUAUAUAGAUCUCUGUCAAGCUAGAAGAAAAAUGUCACUAAAAUAAUUCAAGACAAUUUUUGUACUUUCCAACGAUGUUCAGGUAACAGCUGAAAAUAUUCUCACUUAUUUGACUUGAGGAAGAAAAUUCGAACGAGGAAAAUCAUCAAGGAUUUGCUAAAGUCCCUUCUGUAAAAUCUUCCUUAAGGAAGUUUAAACACUCCUAUUCUCUCUUCUCUCAUUCUUUUGAACUCACUGCAUGUAUUGAUAUCACUGACUUGGUUUGUUUUCUAGAAUAUAUGUAAAAGUAAGAGUGUGUAUAUAUAACCCAUUAUGUACAUAACAAGAACAGUUCCUUCCAAUAUUCAAAUUUCAUGACUCUAGAUCACUACUGUGCAUUCUAAGAAGGUCAGGGACUCAUGGAG
rnacentral:lncRNA from 1 species